rnacentral:lncRNA from 1 species
ACCCACCUUUCCCUAAUUCUCCCAUCUUUCUUGGCUUGCUUUCACUCCUUUGCUUCCUCUACUGCCUCCUCCCUUCCAUGUGGCACAGGAGAUGGGGAGCAGGUGUUGCAGUCAGCCCAUAAGAGUUCCUCUCUGCUGCUUCUUCCGCUAAACACUUUUCAGAUAUGUGCAAAGGACGGAAAAGUAAUAAAUCUAUGCUCAUGCAGCAGGAGAGAUCUGGGUUUUUAAUGCAGUAAUAAGAAAAUAUGCCAGCCAGUGACACUCUGAAAAAAAAUCCCCUCAAGGAACUGCAACUACAGAGCUCAGGGCACACACCUUCCAGUAACUGUAUUUUAUUUAAGUAGAAUAUACAGACGUCUUUUAAGAUCCCCUUGUUAUAUGUGGCUAAAUAAAUGCAGCUUUUUAAUUAUAUUCA